GGGGGACGGGGGAGUAACGCGUGGUUGACCGCACCUGUACAGACGGAUAACAUACCGGAAGGGAUGAUACGAGGGGAUAAUAUUGUUGGGGGGCAACUCUUAAAGAUCAAAGGGGAGCCAGUACAGGAGGGACCCGCGUCUGAUUAGCUAGUUGGGAAGGUAACGGCUUACCAAGGCGACGAUCAGUAGCCGACCUGAGAGGGUGACCGGCCACAUUGGAACUGAGACACGGUCCAAACUCCUACGGGAGGCAGCAGUGGGGAAUAUUGCACAAGGGGCGAAAGCAUGAUGCAGCAACGCCGCGUGAGUGCUUAAGGCCUUCGGGUCGUAAAACUCUGUCCUCAAGGCAGAUACUGACGGUACUUGAGGAGGCAGCCCCGGCUAACUACGUGCCAGCAGCCGCGGUCAUACGCAGGGGGCUAGCGGUAUCCGGAUUUACUG
rnacentral:rRNA from 1 species